GGGAAUAUAGCUCAAUGGUGGAGCACUUGCCUAGCAUGCAUAUAGCCCUAGAUUCAAUCUCUAGUCCA
rnacentral:tRNA from 1 species